UACAGAGGGGGCAAGCGUUGUUCGGAAUUACUGGGCGUAAAGGGCGCGUAGGCGGCCUGCUAAGUCGAACGUGAAAUCCCCGGGCUCAGCCCGGGAACUGCGUCCGAUACUGGCAGGCUUGAAUCCGGGAGAGGGAUGUGGAAUUCCAGGUGUAGCGGUGAAAUGCGUAGAUAUCUGGAGGAACACCGGUGGCGAAGGCGGCAUCCUGGACCGGUAUUGACGCUGAGGAGCGAAAGCCAGGGGAGCAAACGGG
rnacentral:rRNA from 1 species